GAGAAAGUCCAGAACCUUCUCCAAGAUGCUUGUGGUCCUGCUCACAGCCGCCUUGCUGGCCCUGAGCUCAGCUCAGAGCGCAGAUGAAGAUGGCCAGAGUACAUCUGAUGUCCAAGAACAAGGUAAAGCCCAAUCCAUCAUCCUUGCAUGUUGUUCAAGUGUCUGUGUUUCAGUGCAUUGUCUCAUCAUAUAUGUCUUAUAGAUGAGUAAAUAUUAAUUUUGCUAUGUAUAUAAAUAAAUAUUCCCCACGCUGAUGAUGGAGACAUGAUUAAAGUCAGCCAACUGAACGAAGGACAGACAAAGCUUCCAUAACUGUAGAUGAGAUUUGUUGGCUUCCCAGCCCAAAUCACCACUGUGAGAUGAGGCAGAAAACAAAAGAGCUUUUAUACUGAUUUCUCUGAUUGUGAGAAAAUCCAUGGUUCUAUUUUUCUUGGUGUUCCUGUAUAUAAUAAUUGAGUUUCAAGAACAAAAUGGAGUUGUUGGCUUUUCCUGUUUUCUCUUUGCCUUCCUGUAACUAGGUAAUUGUCUUUGAUUUAAGAAAAAAAAAACAGAAGCAAAUUGUCCUUAGGGAUGUAGUAUAUUUAUUCUACACCAUUAUUGUUAGUCUUAUUCUGUAUUAAAAUAUAUAGGUAUUGAACUGUUAACUUAUAUUUCAUUCUUGAGAUUUCAAACUCUAAUUAAAACACUUUGCACAGCAGAGAUUUUAUUAUUGUGACCUGAAGUACAACUUUCAGUUCUCCUGAUGUUAACCUAAGUAGUUUUGAAAUGUGGAAUUAGAAAGCCAAGAUGAGGAGAGGAAGUUAGCAGCUGGCAGAAAGGAUCUGAGAGAAAGGAUUGUGUGAUUAGGUUAGGGAAAGAAAUCAAGGGGAAAGUCUUCUAUCAAUGUGUUCACAUCUUCUGGACCUUUCUAUGCAGCUCCUGUGAAUCAAACCCAGGUCUCAGGUUCAGAUCCUUCUUCUGCUGAGGUAAAUACAGUGAAUGUCCAAGAGCCUGAAUCAGCAUCAGCAGGAAAUGAGUCUUCUGCCAACUCUGGGAGUGAACAGGAACAGCAACAGCAAGCUCAGGAAUCUCAAGAAGCAGAGAGUCAGAGGCCUUCUGACUCUGCUGUGAAAGAAUAGGAAAGUCAAUCUGGAGAAGAAAGGAGAAAAGAGGUUCAAGGGCAACAUAACUUUCAUCCUGAAAAGCCAGGAGUAGUACAUAUGAAAGUAAAACGUAACAAUCCUAAUUCUCAUAAAAGAUUUAACCAUAAUCUACCCAAUAAAAGAAAAUUCGAAUCCCCUGACAAAGGCAACCAGAGACGAAGAAGUAUGGCUUAGUAAGCAAUCAGCAGCAAAUAAACUAGGUAAGAUCAAUGAGUCAAACUUAAUAAAGAUAAACACUUUGCCUCAGUAUUUGUCAAAUCAUAGUGUGAAAAUUUGCUAGUUGUCAGCAUAUGGACACGGCAUCAGCAUUUCAAAUCUUAGCAUUCAGACAGUACAAGGUGAUACGUCUUUGAUGGUCUAAGCCAGUAUUGCACAAGAUCUCCAAUGUACUUGUGCCCCUGAGGAACAUAACUCCACAGCUGUUUUAUGCUCCAUUGCUCCUUUAUUAUUAUUAUUUAUUUUAUAACAAUGUUUACUCUUUGCAUUGACUUCAUAUUUAGAAGUACAGAAGCAAUCUUUCUUUGGCCUUAUGUCCUCUGAAUUCACUGACUUCUCAACUCAACUGUGUACAAUCUGUCCCACUCACACAGGGAGGUGCAGAUCCAUUUCCUCUAAGUGAUACAUUACAGAUAUCUCUAACCUUGUUCAGAUUUUAAUAUGUUCUUCUAAAUUGGUAUAUGCCCAAGUUGAUCAGAGUCUACAUCCCUAGGAGUACAUUUGGCUGACUAUUAUAGUUAAAUAUUAUAGUAAGUUACCAUGUUUUCCUUGAAAGUCAUUAAUUUAAUCCUUUGGCAAUAUCGUUAGAAAUAAUAGUAUGUGUAUGUGAGUAAAUAUUAUACACAAUUGAGGUUUAUAUGAAAUGUUUAUGCAGCCCUUUAGGAUAUUCAUUUCCAAAGCCACAUUUCUUAGAAAAGUUCAUAGCUUCAUAAAGUCUUUGGAUCUCCCCAUAGCAUGUUUUGCUUGGUUGUAUUUUCCUGGUUGCAUACACAGGAUUCAAUUGCAUGGUCUGACAUGAUGUAUUUAUGGCUUGUUCUGUUAAUAAAUAUUUAGGUCAGUUUCAGUUGUUCAAUCACUCAGGGAACAUAGCACUAAAAUAUUUGGAAAUAUAUCCUGGAACCUUUUAUAUCAGAACUAAUGGGUGAACAACCUAAGAUACUCAUUCACUUUCAUCUUGUAAGAAAUAGUUUAGUCCCAUUUUCUUCUCUGUGCCCGACAAGAGUAAAUCUGAGAAAAUGGAGAAGGAAUGAGGUGUAGGAGAUGCAGGAAGAAGAGGGUGUAGGCUCCCACCCCUCUCACUUCUGGGGUACAAAUAGCAGUUAAGGAACGUUCAGCAUGUCUUAAUUUUUCAAUAACUUUUCUCCUUAUUUUUCUUUUCCAGAGAGUACCUGAUUAAAAUAUGUCCUUCAAAUGAUUAGAUCAACGAAUCAAUGUUGAUUGUCUAUACUAUUCCAAUAAAAUUUUCAGCAUGCAA
rnacentral:lncRNA from 1 species